CCAGUAGAUCGAAUUGCAACGUGUAUUUGUGUUUUCCUUUUUCGAAAGGAUCGCGAUUACGUGAAAAAUUACAGAUAGCCCAUGAUCGUUCAAGAAAAGCAUAACGGUUUCUCGAUCGGAAGGACGAAUCAUGAACUGGCAUGUGAAAUAUUUCUUUCUCUCUCAGAUUGGUGAGAGCGUAAUCGUAUGUGAUAGACAAGGAUAGACUAUAGAAGCGCGCGCAGAUAAUAAAAAAUGGCGGCACGAACUCGAGAGUGGAAUGAACGAAAGAUAGAAAUAACAGUUAUUUUUAAAAUCUUUUGCACGAAAAGAAAGAUAGUGUCAUUGAGGAAAAGGUUAUUGCAACAGUGAUGGUUCUUGGAACAAAGAGAAAAGGAGACAGUUCGUGAUAAACGAAGGAACAAACGUGAAAUCAAAUAGCUAGCCGCGAGGAACGAAAGAGUAAGGACGAAAGAUGUGUGCAUCAAGAUAAAUGGAAGAAAUAAUUAUAACAAUUCAUCAAGCGAGAUGUGAAAUUUAACAACGCCAAAGAAAUAAUCUUCUUGAAAAAUUGACUCACAAAGAGAUGUUAUAUCCUGUGCUGACUAAUGUUGUAACAAGAUAACAACGAAAAAAUACUAAAAUAUCUACAUGCAUGCGGCACAACGUUUUCAGCAAAUGAUUACGACAACCGUUUCUACGCACAUUGCGACACCAGGGAUCGGAUCUCCUUCUGAGGAAUCUCAAUGUGGCCUCACCGAGGCCUCAGAAUGGCCUCAGGACGGCCUCAUCGACGAAGUACGCAACUUCUACUUGGAAGGUGCAAUUCACUAGCGGACUAGCGGAGAUGAGUGUUGGUAGUGGGAGGAUAUACUGCUGGAGUGAGAGAGGAGAAGGAGGAGGUUUAAAAGGAAUGGGAGGAAACGGAGUUGCAAGGCUCGCGUAUAGGGUAUUUUUUUCUCGCCUCGUGGAAACCUGACAUUCUGCGGAAUCUCGAUCUCUAACGCGACACGCUCUUCCAUUUGUUUUUAAAAGCAACUCAUAAUCGUUACGAAAUUGUGAAUAGUGUAAGAUACGUACAUCUCGGUAUUCAAUGAAACUUAACCUUUAUUCUCUACUUCAGAUCCGGAGUCUACGAAUUCCGAUAUUGGCAAAAAUAGAAAUUAUCUCAUCAAGAUAGAAUUCAUAGAUUGUUUUCUCGAUCGUCAAUUCCAAGAAAUCAACAGUUCCUGCGACUUUUGAAAGAUGCUAAAGACAAGUUUCCAUAACAUGAAAAGAUAUGAUAAAUUUUGUAUAGGAAUAAACGCAGAACGCUGUUUUAUAAAAUAGCGGCGGAAUAAUUUACACCAUUAUGUCUCUCAACUAAUUAUUUUACGAUAUUAAUAUGUUAAUUUAUAUUUUAGGAGAUGAAAUUAAUUCUUGAUAUCGUUGUGUUAUUAGAAAUUUUUAGGGAUUCGGUUAUAAUGGAGAAGGGAUUAAUUAACAUUUCAGUCGAUGGGACAGUGUCGAUGAACAGCGCACUUUUGCGUGGAGUUUCGACUCGUGUAGCUGUUAAGUAGAAGGUGAGGUAAGAGCUGAACCACGGAGUUAGAAGAGGGGAAAGAGACAGCCACGCAGGGAAAACGAUCCUUGGACAGCUCGUGGAAAACAAGUUGACAUUCCAGUGAACACCGAUGUCGUUGUCCUUAACGACGACGUGUCUGCUUUACUUGUUCGCGCUCUAAAUGCCGCCUAUGUGUCCCAAUCUUAUGUGUGAUCUUGAGAAAAUGUUUUAACUUCUUUUCUGCCCUCAUGUCGAUCCCUUUUGGGAUAACGUAAAUUGAUGAGAGAACACUAAAUACAUAAUAAUCGGUAAUGAUCAAAAUUACGGUUAUAAAAGAUUUGAAAAAGAUUUUCUUUCAGAUUUCUAAGUAUAAAUUAAGAAUAAUAUAAAUUAUGGAUGGUAAUUAAUUUGGUAAUCGAAUAAGAAAUUUUUAACAAGAUUGAUUGGAAUAUUACAAAAUCCUAAGAUGUAUACAUCAAAUUCCGAAGACCAUGGUUAUAUAUGUAUUUCUCUUUUUUUUUUCUAAAAAGAACAGUAAACAUACUUUCAACAGAACUACGUAGUUAACAGAUUGCACGACAAAACUUUCUCGGAUUCCUCUGUUUACAUUCUACGUUCCUAUGCGAGUAUGUACAUAAUCACACGAUUGCAUAUUGUUUUACUAUACUUUUCUCGAGACUGUGUGAAACAGAAAAAAAAAGUUGUAAGGUGACGUGCAAGCGAUAAAUGCUAUGAGCUUCAAAACUAAUUUGCACUUGAAUAUAAGUGUAUUUAAUUGCCUUAAAUUAAUUUUCCAAGAAAUUCUAACCUAUCUUCAUUAUUAUUCACGAUUAUAUUCACAGCAAGAAAAAGAAUAAUAGUUGAAAGAAGAAUUAAGUGGAUGUCCGACAAAUUUAUGUGUACGCAAAAUUUUGAUGCCAAACUUGAAAUGCCAAAACAGUCCAGGUGAAAUAGUGAAGCAAUGACAAAAAUGUAGAAAAAGAAGAAACAUUUCUCGGAUUGACAGGAGAAAAUGGUGGCAUUUCUAAGCAUAUCACAGUGACUGAUUGUUCUCAUUGAUGCGAGAUCUCUCCUGAGAGAGUAAGAAAAGAAAAUCCACAGCGUGAUGGCGAGAGUAAGCGAAAUUACGGAGUCAUAAAGAGUGUACUAUCGCGCCACUCUUAACGUGUUGUAGAAAACAACCGACGGUGCUAGCGAAUGCUCGUUUCAUUCAGUUUUCGCUGUCUAGUGGGAUUUUCACCAACGGAGGAUAUUACGCGAUCCGGUGGUAUGUCGCACGAUAGAAACAAUGUGAUGAAGCGAAAUAACGAAUUUCAAAAAUAGAAUGCAAUGACCAGGAAAAAGACUUUUGCCAAGUACCAACAAUUCAUGGAAAAAUACGUAGACGGUCAGAUGAUAAUAAUAAAUUAUGUCGACGAUGUUGCUUCGAACAUGAAAAGAGGUUAAAAUGAAACGAAUGCGCAUAAUCAGGAUGUAGGAGGAUGAACGAGCUUACAAUACAGAAUUAUGCAGAUGCUAGAGUCGCAAUUUCUUCAGGCAUAAUUAAGAAAAACGAAGAGGCGAGGAACGCCGAUGACGUUGGUGCCAUUAAACUUCCUCUCACCGGCAUUCUAUGUAUAAUGAGUUGUUACGCCAUACAUGCGAUAUUACUGUAGGAUACGCGGGGAAGAAUACAAAUACGAUGCGAUGGAUGAUGCAGGAAGCGCGCGUCAAUAAAAAAAAAAAAGGAAGAGAGACGAAACGUUCUUCGCGGUGAAUCGAUCUAACAGCUCUUAUUCCAGUUGAUCGAUUAUCUUGAGAUUAGUUUCCAUAUAACGUUGAAUUAUUCUCCUGAAAAUGAACAUGUACAUUCUCGAUAUGUACACUCUUUCGAUUUCUUUGCACAACCACGUCAAUAAUUUCUUGAGUAAUCUCAAGUUCGUAAACAACUGGUAUGAUCUUUAUACAAUGAUUCACUAAAUAAAUGUUUAGUGAAAAGAGAGAAAAUCAGAAAAAUCGCACAAACUGCGCAGUGGCUUUAUCGAGCCAUCAAGAAAGAUCCAAGUCUUCCUACCUGUUGAAUAUUAUCCGGCGAGCUUUCAGCUGAUCCUUCGGUCAUGCACACACAAAAUCACUGCACCAAAGAAUACUGUAGCUCUCAGACGACGCGCCUCUGUGGCAACGUCAUCGUCUGCCAGAAAAAGAAACAACAAGAUCGUGCGAUUGAUUCCAGUCUCGCUGUUGGCAAGAUGCAAGAAAAGUAAACGUGUGUCCGCACACUUGAUCGGUGAACCACGAUGAUUCACUGAAUGCUCGAAAGACGUGACUUCAGAACGUAGUCAUUUCGAUAUUAAGCGGUCAACUGCGACGAUGCACGAUAAGAUCGUACGAUUUCGACAGGUGGUAGCUGUACACAAGGAUAUUACAACAGUCAGGGAUGCGACGGAGCCACGUCCAAGACUGACUCCAAGAGACUCAGCUCGGCUCUGCUCGACUCAACUCGACUUACCUCGACUGCCUGGCAUUGCAAAGCAGCCGCGAGCGAAAACUCACUUUACGCUCUCGUACGGCCCCUUACGUUUACCCCCCCGCCAUAUUACAGACUGCCUGCUUUCUUAAGGCUGCUUACUCGCUCGCCUGAAUACCUGCUCUAUGCCCCUUCUCCAUAUUCACCACGGUACGAUGCCUCAUGGCGGCUUAACGUCUCUUCUUGCGCUCUCUGGCUCCCUCUGACAGGGAGAACAUAUGAUAUUCGGGUCACCGAUUUGUCUUCAAUUUCGUGGACACGAUGAAGAUGCCAAAAUUAAACUUGUAUUUUUAAUCGUUCAUUUUUUGUUAUGGUGGAUCUUGGAAUUUGGUGUUUGAUACAUUGAAAUAUUUCACUAAUUUAUUGUGUAUAUGUAUUUGUAAAGUUAUGAAGAAUAUUUUCCUUAUAGGUGUCUCCGAUGUCAUGUGUAAAAAUCUUUUGUAUGAUCUUUAUAAUAAUCUUGACUGAUAUAUCGUAUACGCUUAAAUUUGGAAAUUGUGACAGGUGGUCAAUCAAGAUCUCUAGGUUAUCAAAACUCGAUUUUCCAGUAUAGUAAAGUGAUAUAAGAUAUUAAAAUAGUUUUCACAGAUUAUAUUGUUAAAGAUAACUUAGCCACUCGUUAUCAAGAUGCAAAGGGUAUUGUAAUAUAAAAUGAUUAAGAAAAUGAUAAAGAAGCAAAGUGACUUUGGUCAGUAAAGUAGAAGAAGACAACGACCAAUCGCGAAAUUCUACUUGCCCAACGAGUUUGCGUUUCUGAUCGCGAAAAAUUGAUGCAAUUCAGCCUUCGAGGCGAAUCGGUAUUCCGAUACCGUCGAUCCAUCGACAAAGGGGUAUCCUCCAGACAAAAACUAAAUUUCAUUCAGUUUAAUUUACUCGUAUAGUAAAAGUGUUCAUCAGGCACAAAUUACAUCUCUUGUUUAGACCAGCGCCUGUACAUUUUAACUUGUAACAGCAAGAGCAAAACCUUUCGAUCGGAAUGGAAAGCGAGCUACCCAGGCACGCGGCGGCCUACAGCUUGAUCGAGUGGUGUUCAUUCGCGCCUUAGGCUGCGUACAGACUGGCAAAUAGGUCUUGUGCUCCCUGUAGAAGUUUCUUGCCAAAUGCUGUCAACGUUUUGACGAAUUAUAAAUUCUUUUUAAGAAACUGGAAUUUGAGAAAUCUAUAACAUUCAAAAUAUGGAGCCAUGGAAAAUUCGAAAAAUAUUGCAAAGUAUAUUAUGAAAAUGAAGUUUAAAGAUUUCAGUGCGCAAAAAUUUAAAGGAUUAAGAAAUUUCCAAUUUCAAAAGGAUGAGAACCAAGUGAUUUGGAGUUUAAAUAUAUAAACAAUUAAAAAAGAACCAUUGUCCAUGGAUUCCUGGAGUUGGAAAAUAUAAAAUUUAGAAUUCAACAAUUAAGAAGAUAUAAAAAUUCAAAAAGUCAAAAAGUUCAGAUAGCAAAAAUUUAAGGAUUUCAAAAGUUAAUAAUAAAAGAACGUACAUACGUCACAAUAAUGCAAGGAUUCAAGAAUUAAAAAAAUCCAAAGUUUAAGAGAUUCAAUGUAAUUUUAGACUAAAAGAUUGCAAAGGAAAGAAAGCAUAAAGAAUUCGGAGAUAUUCUUUUUAUUUAUUUUAUACGUCCAAAUUCUGUUUGCAUGUGUGUACAGUAUCACGUUGCAGUAUGCGGUUGAUCUCCAAUCGAAACGGCUCUACGCGUGGAUAAUUUUUCGCCAACUAUCACGUUGGAAAUGCUUAAUUACUGAGUCACCAAGCAAGGUAAUAUUUCGCAAUCUAAAAUUACUGGAGUAUCAGUACAUACUCUUGCGGAACUUGGAAUCUCAAUUACAAAAAUCUACUCUACUUCUGAUCAGCUAACCACAAUUUAUACAUAUAUGGAUUCUAAAUGUUCAGUGACUUAAAAAAUCCUGGCUUAUAUUUCACGACCAGUAAACAAACAUAAAACUUGUAAUUAAAAAACUUUUAGUCAAUGGAGAAAGAAGUUUAAUCGGGUAUUUCUUCAGAACUUCAGUUCCAGAACCGUCAAACACUUGCCACGCAGAAGAAAAUGCGACGAAAUUUAAAAUACGCGGACCAGAGGAUCUAUUUACAUUGCGUUGUUGACAAUUAAAUUAAAAGCACGAACUUCGUUAACUACAUUUCAAGAAAAAAGUAACCGGAACUUGAUUCUUCGCUAUGUAGAUAUCUUGAGGAAUCUAAAAUCAGUAAGGAGCGAACCUGGAAGCCUUCAUGGCUGUCCCCGAAGCAAGCCAGAGACCUGAUCAGAGGGAGAGGCCGCAUUCCAAUCCAUGGAGAAAGCCUCUCGCGUAUUUAACCGCGAGAUGACCGUCCAGAGGUCGCGUAAAUGAAUUCCAUGGAUCCGUUAGUUUGAUUCUGAUCAAUGAAACAACAGUUAGUGUUACGACGACUAAACCAAAGCGAUUAAUUCAACCAAAUCCCCGGAUUGGUUCCACCUGUGGCAAUGAAGGCACAUUUGAAUUCAAAUACUUCGGGGAAAGUAUGAGGUUUGAGGACGUUCGCUACACCUGCCACAAGGUGACUGCAUUCCACAGCGAGGUGAAACCUGUGUUUAUCGUUGGUCCAUUGUAAGCCACAUUGCAUUCCUGAACACGAUUUCUCUUAUUUGCUAUUCACAUUGUUAAAUUUAUGGCCUCAUCAACUAAAUCUCUUGUUGAAAUUGUUAAAUCGCAAAAGGUUAAAUGUCAUACGUUGCGCAACCUCGCAUACCCAACCGACAUCCAUUGGCAUCCCGCAGGAAUUUCUUUACAAAAGCCCGUGUAUUCAACGAUAAACACAACAUGAAUAUCGCGAGGCGCGACUAAAUUCUUCGCAUACGCGUUCCUCGCAAUCAGAUAAGAGAAUUUCUUGGCAUCAAUGUGCACCUCGAUUCUUCUUGGAACAUUAUUUGGGCGUAUCUGCAAUGCGUACAACAUCCGUGGAAUAGCCGGAGAUUCGGUAGAUGAAGGCAGCAUAGGAGGCUGUAGGAAAUGCCUUCAGAAACAAGAAGAGAAGGGCUCUAUGAAGGCUAUCUUUCCACGUAGUGUCGUCAUUAAGCAUCGACGAAAACGCUAGAUGCAUAUGGAAUGACAAGCAGAGUUACAUGUGGCUCAAUAUUAUGGCCAGUGGGUCGCUGUUCCUUCCACGGCCAUUCUUUUCUACAUUCCACGGCGCACCAACACCUUCGCCUGUACUUGCCUUUUUUGGUAGGUUUAGGUUAAGAGAUAAGCAAAAUGGAAAAGCUGUACGUACAGGUGGUCGUUUAGGGAGUCGUUUAGGUUUACCUGACGGAAGACAUAAAUGAAACAUUAGCAAAGAGUUGGGAGAAUUGGUUAG